AUUACCGAGCCCCAUUCAAGCACUGCAGCAGAGAGCGUUGUCAUGGAAACGGAGCAACGACACGACACCUGACCGUCAACAGCACUUCUCUCAUGCGGCAGUUUUCACUAAUUUCAGAAGUGACAAAAUUACCCCUACAACAGAAGAGAAGAGCCAAGAUGAAGGGAGCUAAUCACUGAGCUGGAGGAAACACAGAUUUUGGAUCGUCCUCCACUCACUCUACCACUUUGUUUUUCCUUGCCAGACUUCAUUCAAGGAUAAGAAAGAAGCCUGCUACAAGAGAAACAGCGGAAGGGAGCCUCCAAGACAUUUUUAUUAGGAUCUGCUAAUCAUGAGGGGGCAGACAAAAGAACCUGCAUUUUCCUUCAGCUUAAUAUCAGGGGUCGCCACAGCGUAAGGAACUGGAUAUUACUUUGGCAUAUGUUUUACACAGCGGAUGGCCUUCCAGCUGCAACCCAGCACAGUGAAACACCCAUACACUCUCGUAUUCACAGACACUUCUACACUAUAUUCAAAUUUACCUAUAGCACAAGUGUUUGGACUGUGGUGGAAACCCACACCAAAACAGGGAGAACAUGCAAACUCCACACAGAAACGCCAGCAGACCCAACCGGGACUCAUACCAGCAACCUUUUUGCUGUGAGGUGACAGUCUGAGCCACUGGGCUGCCCCAGUGUAGUUAUUAAUAACCUGCAGAUGUUUUACUGUUUGAUUUUGUAAUAAUAAUGCACAUUUAGAUUUAUUGUAAUAUGUAUUUUAAAAUUUAUUCACAAUGUAAUUUAUUUUUAUGUUAUUUAUAAUAACGUUAAAUGUCAUAAGAAAGUUAUAAUUUAAUAUAAUAUUAUAAUAAAUAAUUAUAAUAAUGUUAAAAUAUAAAUAAUACAAAUUUAUUUAUAAUGUUUUUAAGUUUAUUUUUUUAAUGAGAAGUCUCAAAGUCUUCAAAGUUGUCUUUAUUAUAGAAAACUCAUUGUUGAAUGGCUACCACUUUACAAUAAGGUUGUAUGUAUUAGUUAAUGUAUUUACUAACAUAUUAAACAAUACAUUUAUUACAGUAUUCAUCUUUGCUAAUGUUGGUAAAUGGUAAAAGUUGUUAAUUGUUUAUUCAUGUUAACUCGCAAUGUAUUAACUAAUGUUAACAAGCAUGACUGCUUUUAUUAAUGCAUUAGUAAAUGCUGUACAUAAAUUAUGCUGUACAGGUAUUGUUCAUAUUAGUUCAUAUUUAAACCAUUAACAUUACUUAUAACAUUACUUAUAAAACUACUGUAAAAUGUAACUGUUGUAUGUAUGUUGUUAUAUUAUAUUUGUAUGUAUUUUAUAUGUAUUUAUUUAUUUUGUUAUAUUUGUUAACGUAUGUGAUUUCGAAACAUUUGAUUAUAAUCUAAGUGUUUAAUGUAUGUUCGUUAUGCAGUAUUAUAAAUAAAUGUUAUAAUGAUUAAGUAUUUUGUACUUGAUUUCAUUAUUGGACAUAUUUAUAUCGAAUACAAUUGUAAAGGCUAAUAUAAUAUUCAAAAAUGACAUGUGGACCGACCGUGGGCCGCCAGCGGACACUUAUUUAAAACCAGCGGUCCGAUGGCGGACCACCGUCGGAAAAGCGGCGGCAGC
ensembl:processed_transcript